rnacentral:rRNA from 1 species
UACGUAGGGGGCUAGCGUUGUCCGGAUUUAUUGGGCGUAAAGAGCGUGUAGGCGGCCAGGUAGGUCUGCUGUGAAAACUCGAGGCUCAACCUCGAGACGUCGGCGGAAACCAUCUGGCUAGAGUCCGGAAGAGGCGAGUGGAAUUCCCGGUGUAGCGGUGAAAUGCGCAGAUAUCGGGAGGAACACCUAUGGCGAAGGCAGCUCGCUGGGACGUUACUGACGCUGAGACGCGAAAGCGUGGGGAGCAAACAGG